GCUGCUCGAGCCGGGGAGUCCCGUGCGCCGCUGAUGAAUUGCCAUUUAAUUCUGCACCUUUAGCCUGAGCAGAGAGGGGAGGGAAUGCACACCUGCAUAUUUGCAUUUUCUCUCAUUGCUGCCAAUAUUAUUUUCUUAUACACACACAUAUAUAUAUUUAAAUAACCCAGCUGCACGCACAUUUCGCUGAAGUUUUACUUAGUGCAAUGUCAUUACUUAUAAACGCGUCCUUUGUGUCACUCUUUUAAAUAAGAGACAAAUUCCGAUUUUUGUUUGCCCUCCCUGUUCAGGAGAUUGAAUGAUUGACUUAAGCACUCCGCAGAUAUUUUUAAAGAGCUCCUGGUUGCAGACUGUGCCUGGAUGGUCAGGCCCUGGUGGGGAUGCGUUGCUGUAGUUGAUUGUGCUGCUGCCCUAUCGUUGAAGCGCGGAAGGCUGUUAAAAGGUGAAGACGGAAAAUGAAGUACAAUUGCUGCUGUAGAAUUUUUCAAUUUGUGGAACAUGAACUAGGGAAGGAAUAGGUCACAUACACAGCCUGAUCAGAUGUUAUCAACUAUCAGAACUGCAACAAAGAUGUUUCUGUGAGAAAGUACAACAAAUCUCUGAAAAUUGGUUCCUGGAAAUGAUAUUUGGACAAUCCAUUCACGUAUGUGACAACAGGAAAAGACCUACCAUGUCAAUAAACUGAUGUAUCGGAGUAAGGAGUAGUAUGUUUCCACUAUCUGAAGAGUUUGUGAUCUGAUGCUAGCCAGUCCAUGUCAUUGUAGAUUUGCUGCUUAUUUUGCCAUAUUUCGCAAUCAAAAAUUAUUGAUAAUCAUUGAAGAAAAAUUUUCUGCUCUCGCUGUGUUUUUUCCCUUGUGUGGAGUCGACUCAUAAUUGAAAAUCAAAGAUAAACAAAAUUUGAAUGAAAACUUCGAGUUGAAAGUAAAGAACAAUAGUCAAAGCUGCAGAGACUUGGAGAAACUGAAUAGGGUUUCUCUGAUUUUGGAUCCGAUAAAGUAUGACCUGAUGAUCAUAACUAGAUAGAAUGAUAUUCCAUUGUCUUAUUAACACUGUCACCAAAAGCCACCUCUAAUCCACCUGGGAUGGCCUAGCAAAUACUCAUUUUACAAAUUCCGAUAAGAACCUAGAAAAAGAGGUGAAGCCUUUGUCUUAAUAAAGCCUUUUUGAUAAA